UGGGGAAUAUUGCACAAUGGGCGAAAGCCUGAUGCAGCAACGCCGCGUGAGUGAUGAAGGCCUUCGGGUUGUAAAGCUCUGUCUUUUGGGACGAUAAUGACGGUACCAAAGGAGGAAGCCACGGCUAACUACGUGCCAGCAGCCGCGGUAAUACGUAGGUGGCAAGCGUUGUCCGGAUUUACUGGGCGUAAAGGAUGCGUAGGCGGAUUUUUAAGUGAGAUGUGAAAACCCUAAGCUUAACUUGGGGACUGCAUUUCAUACUGGAAAUCUAGAGUGCGGGAGAGGAGAAUGGAAUUCCUAGUGUAGCGGUGAAAUGCGUAGAGAUUAGGAAGAACACCAGUGGCGAAGGCGAUUCUCUGGACCGUAACUGACGCUGAGGCAUGAAAGCGUGGGUAGCAAAACAGGAUUAGAUACCCCUGGUAGUCCACGCCGUAAACGAUGAGUACUAGGUGUAGGAGGUAUCGACCCCUUCUGUGCCGCAGUUAACACAAUAAGUACUCCGCCUGGGAAGUACGAUCGCAAGAUUAAAAACUCAAAUGAAUUGAC
rnacentral:rRNA from 1 species